GACAGAGGGUGCAACGUUGUUCGGAUUUACUGGGCGUAAAGCGCGCGUAGGCGGACCUGCAAGUCGGGGGUGAAAGCCCGAGGCUCAACCUCGGAACUGCCUUCGAUACUGCGGGUCUCGAGUCCGGGAGAGGUGAGUGGAAUUCCUAGUGUAGAGGUGAAAUUCGUAGAUAUUAGGAAGAACACCAGUGGCGAAGGCGGCUCACUGGCCCGGUACUGACGCUGAGGCGCGAAAGCGUGGGGAGCAAACAGG
rnacentral:rRNA from 1 species